UACGUAGGGUGCAAGCGUUAAUCGGAAUUACUGGGCGUAAAGCGCACGCAGGCGGUCUAUCAAGUCUGGCGUGAAAUCUCUCGGCUUAACCGGGAGCGGUCGUUGGAAACUGAUGGACUUGAGGCGAUGAGAGGGGUGUGGAAUUCCCGGUGUAGUGGUGGAAUGCGUAGAUAUCGGGAGGAACAUCAGUGGCGAAAGCGGCACCCUGGCAUUAGCCUGACGCUCAUGUGCGAAAGCGUGGGGAGCGAACGGG
rnacentral:rRNA from 1 species